UACGUAGGGUGCGAGCGUUGUCCGGAAUUAUUGGGCGUAAAGGGCUCGUAGGCGGUUUGUCACGUCGGGAGUGAAAACUCGGGGCUUAACCCCGAGCCUGCUUCCGAUACGGGCUGACUAGAGGUAUGCAGGGGAGAACGGAAUUCCUGGUGUAGCGGUGAAAUGCGCAGAUAUCAGGAGGAACACCGGUGGCGAAGGCGGAUCUCUGGGCCUUACCUGACGCUGAGGAGCGAAAGCGUGGGGAGCGAACAGG
rnacentral:rRNA from 1 species